rnacentral:rRNA from 1 species
CAUUAGCUAGUUGGUAAGGUAACGGCUUACCAAGGCGAUGAUGCAUAGCCGAGUUGAGAGACUGAUCGGCCACAAUGGAACUGAGACACGGUCCAUACUCCUACGGGAGGCAGCAGUAGGGAAUCUUCCACAAUGGGCGCAAGCCUGAUGGAGCAACACCGCGUGAGUGAAGAAGGGUUUCGGCUCGUAAAGCUCUGUUGUUGGAGAAGAACGUGCGUGAGAGUAACUGUUCACGCAGUGACGGUAUCCAACCAGAAAGUCACGGCUAACUACGUGCCAGCAGCCGCGGUAAUACGUAGGUGGCAAGCGUUAUCCGGAUUUAUUGGGCGUAAAGCGAGCGCAGGCGGUUGCUUAGGUCUGAUGUGAAAGCCUUCGGCUUAACCGAAGAAGUGCAUCGGAAACCGGGCGACUUGAGUGCAGAAGAGGACAGUGGAACUCCAUGUGUAGCGGUGGAAUGCGUAGAUAUAUGGAAGAACACCAGUGGCGAAGGCGGCUGUCUGGUCUGCAACUGACGCUGAGGCUCGAAAGCAUGGGUAGCGAACAGGAUUAGAUACCCUGGUAGUCCAUGCCGUA